AGUCCCAUCAAGUUUGGGAACCAGAAGGACCAGGCUGGCCUAGCUGGGCUGCUGUCCUCUAGCCUCUCCCAAAUGAUGGCCUUGGGAUCUCUUUAUUGCCUUGUGUGGAGACAGCCCUCAUAGGAUGCUCUUACCAUUAGCACAGACACACCAUUCCACCUGCAGGUGGCUCAGGUGGAUUUUUCUAGGCUUUUCUGAGAAGAACGCAGGGAAGUUUUUCUAGAAGGACAGCUCUCUGGUGGAGACAAAGUGUCUGCAAGGCAGUGAGGGGAGCGCAAACAUACAUGAGAGUUUUCAGUCCAGCGAUGGAGAAAAACUAGCUUGGUAAACAGAAGUUUGAGUAGUCCCAACUCCCUACGGUCUGAAUACAAAGCUCUGGGCAGGAUGUGAUACCUGCAUAAAAAUGAGAAAUUUUAAAUGGUUUGGAAAGGUCACGAAGAGAUAACACCGUGAGGACGCAGUGGCUAUGUAUGUCUAACGUGAGUGACGUCGUGCUUGCUUCGUUCGGCAGCACAAACACUAAAGCAUGAUGACCUCCACCGUCAUUUAAUCAUACUCACAAGAUUGAAAAUUGGAGACAACAGAGAUGCCCAGCAAAGAGGGUUGGGGUGGGCAAACCAAUAAUGGUCUGAUCGUGCUGCCAUUGAAAAUGUU